rnacentral:SRP_RNA from 1 species
GGAAAGUCGGCGCGGACGAAGUCCUCGCCAACCCGGUCAGGUCCGGAAGGAAGCAGCCGUAACGAGUUUCGCUUCGGGUCGCCGCCGGCUUUCCACC